UAGGAAGGAACACAACAUAUAGUUUAUUCUCUGCUGAAGAAAAUGUAAUUUGUAGUAUGGUUUAUUCUCGUAUGAAUAUUUUCACAUGAUUGCUAAAUCAACUAUGCUGAAACUUUUUCUUUCUUUUUUUCCCAUUAGAAACAUAAGUUAUAGGUGUUUUAAUCUUGGAAAUACAUGAUUUUUUCCAAAAGGGUGGUAUGUACCGUGAAAUAUAAAUAUUGUUGGUGAUUGUACUGUGCAUAAAGGUGUAACUUCAAAGCUGUUAAAAUAUUAGUUGAAGUUUCAUGCCUUCAUUUUAUCAAGUUAGCAAGAAGGAAUUACAAAAAGGCAAAAGAUACAUGAAAUUGCUCAAAAACAAGACUUCCAAAUUGGAAUGGACAUAUGUGUAGUACUUUGUGGCACACCAAAAAAAAGAGAGUAGAGGAUGAAGAAGGUCACAGUAAUUGCAUCUAUUUUCCUGUUCUAAAUACUUCGUUUUCAAGAAUUUCUACACGUUUCUUCAUUGCCUCUCUUAUACGGAAACCAGGAGGAGGAUGCUCCUGAGAUAGAAGUAGGGCUACAUGGAAAUUUAUUGACUUAUAAAUUCGGUCACCAUGGAGGAAGAUCUGCCCGUACAUAACCUUCGAACUGGCCGCGUUGAAAUUAGUUCCCAGGUAUGCAAACCAAUGGGAUUCCACAUAAUAAUAUCAGUUACUUAAUUUCAUUUGGAUCUAUUUUGUUGUGGUAUUUGGAUAUAUUGAUUGAUACAUGAAAAUUGUAAUAGCCACAACUACGCGGUUGAUGCUGCGACACUUCCUGAAGGUAUAGAGGUUACUCAUAUCAAUCUUAACGACAGUAGUUAUACUAGUCUUGCUUAACGAUACUUGAUUUUUAAUUAUGCAUAUGGAAAA